GACGAAGGGGGCUAGCGUUGUUCGGAAUUACUGGGCGUAAAGCGCACGUAGGCGGCCUUUCAAGUCGGAUGUGAAAGCCCCGAGCUUAACUCGGGAACUGCAUUUGAUACUGUUGGGCUAGAGACCGGGAGAGGAUAGCGGAAUUCCCAGUGUAGAGGUGAAAUUCGUAGAUAUUGGGAAGAACACCAGUGGCGAAGGCGGCUAUCUGGACCGGUACUGACGCUGAGGAGCGAAAGCGUGGGGAGCGAACAGG
rnacentral:rRNA from 1 species